CCUGAUCUCAUUUUCAAUUCCAAUGAAAACCCACUUAUUUAAAAAAUGCACAUUUUAAAACAAUAUAUUGGUAACGUUACGGUCUGCGCCCCCCGCAUUGCGGGAUCUGCGGGGGUGCUAUUUACGCCACUGGAACAGAGCCUUUUAAGGACGAUUGACAACUUGUAGACUAAAAUUUUAUUAGUAUGCAAAAAUAGUGCGGUGCUACGCAACUAAGUUGGCCAUGAAACUAGCAACACAUGAUUUGUAAAUUCAUUUAUAUCGGUAUGCAACCAACAAUACACCAGUUGCUCCACCCGACAUCUACUGUCCGUUCGCGAAUUAAGCGCCCGUUUAUCGUGACGGUGCUCUAAUGGCCACCGCGCCAACUACCUCCCAAAGAAGAAUUCUAUUUUUAACUGUCACAGGAACAGCUGGCCUUCGACGAGAUUUUAUUUUCCAUCACGAACUCGUGCAAAGCAAAAUAACAGUUGUCCAUGGCAGUCGUCUAUCAGCUGCUGAGUAGUGAUGCAAAGAGGGAAUGGCUCCUUCGCUAUUAGUUAACUGAAAGACAACGAAUUUUCGCGAGAUUUCGACUUUGUUUUGUGAGAAGUGCACUCGAACGAAAAUGGAUUACAAAAGCGUAGUUUAUAACGCAGCUAGAGAUGGAAAUUUGAAUAGAUUAAAGUUGUACCUGCACUGUAACAAAGGCAAAGAAGAGGUUUCCAUGCUAGUUGCUGCCAAGACUUCUGGGGCCACCCCUCUGGUAAUUGCUUGCAGAAAUGGACACUACGACGUCGCCGAGUACCUCAUCGAAAAAUGUCACGCCGACAUCGAACAACCCGGUUCAGUGAUGUUCGACGGCGAGACCAUCGAAGGAGCGCCGCCCCUGUGGUGCGCCGCCGCCGCCGGCCACCUCGACAUAGUGAAAUUGUUGAUCUCGCACGGAGCGAAAGUGAACAGUACGACGCGAACGAACUCGACGCCCUUGCGCGCCGCCUGCUUCGACGGCCACCUGGAGAUCGUCAAGUACCUGGUGCAGCACGGCGCCGACAUCGAAGUGGCCAACAGGCACGGCCACUCGUGCCUGAUGAUAGCGUGCUACAAGGGCCACAUUCGGAUCGCCAAAUAUUUGCUUAGUUUAAAGGCUAGUGUUAAUAGGAAAAGUGUUAAAGGCAAUACGGCCCUGCAUGACUGCGCUGAAUCGGGGAGCCUUGAGAUACUUAAAUUAUUAAUAGAAAAUGGGGCGACUAUGGACGUCGAUUCGUACGGGAUGACGCCACUGUUGGCCGCCGCGGUCACCGGACAUAAUCAUAUUGUAGAAUAUUUAAUUAAACUUCCGCAUCUAGUGUCGAAGAAGGAGAAGAUUGAUGCGUUGGAACUGCUAGGAGCUACCUGUGUUGAUAAGAAACGUGAUAUGGUGGGAGCUUUAGAGGUGUGGAAACGCGCGAUGCAUUAUAGAUACCACGGCGAAGGCCCUCCGAUCCUCAAACCCCGCGCCCAGCCCGUCCCCGCCUACGACUACGUCGUCGAAAUCACCGACCCCGACUCCCUCGACGACCUCAUGGCCGACCCCGACGAGAUGCGCAUGCAGGCCCUAGUGAUGCGUGAGCGCAUCCUCGGUCCGGCGCACCCCGACACCAGCUACUACAUCCGCUACCGGGGCGCCGUGUACGCGGACGCCGGCAAGUUCAACCGCUGCAUCGAGCUCUGGAACUACGCCCUCGACAUGCAGCAGUCCAUGCUCGAGCGCCUCAACCCCAUGACCCAGAGCAGCCUCUUCUCCUUCACCGAGCUCUUCUCGUUCAUCAUGGGCGAGGAGGGCAAGCACACCACCCGCGGCCGCCUCGUGCCGCCCGUCGACGUCGUGGAGAUCCUGCGCGUGUUCAAGAAGGCCGUGAAGGAGGUGGAUUUGGGCAGCCAGAUGCUGGAGAAGAUGCCCAACGUUGAGAGAGACAUGACUUACUUGACGCGGGUCCUUGUGAUCACGCUGCACUUGGCGUGCUUGCUGACGCGCAUGCUGGAGCACCACACCACGACGGAGGGGAUCAAGAAGGAGAUCCACAAGGCGGUGUACGACUUGGUGAAGCUGAGGAUUCGGGCGAGGUCGGGGCGGACGGCGCUGCACUUGGCGUGCUGCAGGGACGCGGCGCUGCUGGGGAGGUACCCGGCGUGCCAGUUCCCGUCGGCGCACCUGGCGGAGGUGCUGCUGAGGGUGGGCGCGGACCCUAACGUGAAGGACGACGAGGGGAACACGCCGCUGCACCUCGCCGCCAUGGCGAGGCCGUGUCCGGCUAACAUCACCCAGGUUCUGUUGAAGCACGGGGCCCAUCUAGAUCUAGUGAACAGUAGCGGGGACACUUUCACGAGUUUACUGAAAGGACAGCAAGUGCACGAGUUAGUGAACACGGCCAAGUACACGGGACUGAGUUGUGCCGCAGCGCGUAUUAUCCAGCAGUUCAAAAUCCCGUACAAGGGGAUCGUACCAGCCGCUUUGGAGUCUUUCAUUGCAUGCCACUGAUUUUGUGAUUUUUCUGUUACUGUACAACUAUUUGUCUACACUACAAUUUUAAAAUGCUGAUUUGUUAUUUAGGAGAUUUUGGCAACGAUGGACUCGGGUUUUGGCGACACCUAGCGUGCGCUUGACGAAACUUAAAUACUUCAGGACGAGUUGAGAGUGUAACUGGUUCUUAACUUAGAAAAUUACGCCGUAGGUUACUUGAUUGUUAAUAGAAGAAAAUUUACUCCCAAAAUUUUAACGAAAUUAAGUGAAUUGUUAGUUGCUAAAUGUAAUGAUGAAUUCAGUUAUUUUAAAUAAAUUUAAAUUGUAGGUACAUCCACGAAUGGUACACCAACAAGAUUGCAAGUUCAGGAAUCAGGAUAGAAUUUCAAGCGUAAUUCGUUAGAUGGCGCCAUUUACGUCCAACUGUCAAAAUAUUAUCAAGAUGGAGGCUGUUUUUAAAAUGGAAGGAAAAAAUAAUUUCAAACCAUAGAAUUAGAGGGGACAAAAUGGUAAUCGCAGACACUACUUGCCCCCAUGGAAAGCUAUCUGUUCUUCUGAGAUUUCUGUCACUAUAUUUUGGGUAUCUCUGGUAUUUUAUUUUUUUUAAACAUUUAUAUUAAUCUAGGGACAUCUGGCGUUUUGCCUUUGGAAAAAUCUUGGACACCCUCGAAGUUUUAUUUUUGAAAAAAUUUGAAAGAAUGACAGGGGUUCUUGGUAGUCCGUUUGCGGAAGAAUCUUAGGGGCUUAGAAGUAUGGAAGCUUCCGAUGUUUAGUUAGAGACUACUGAUUUAUUUUUUUUUUUUAUAUAUUUUUUAGUUUGAUAGAAUUGUUUUUG